rnacentral:rRNA from 1 species
AGUAAUACAUCGGAACGUGUCCUGUCGUGGGGGAUAACCAGUCGAAAGACUGGCUAAUACCGCAUGAGAUCGAGAGAUGAAAGCAGGGGACCGCAAGGCCUUGCGCGAUUGGAGCGGCCGAUGUCGGAUUAGCUUGUUGGCGGGGUAAAGCCCACCAAGGCGACGAUCCGUAGCUGGUUUGAGAGAACGACCAGCCACACUGGGACUGAGACACGGCCCAG